CGUCACACGAUAUCAGCAAGUUCAGGGCACUUCCGGAAGCGCAAGUUCAGCAACGGCAUCGUCAGGCGGCUGGCCAACGGGCUGGUGAGCCACGACGGCGAGAAAUGGGCCGCUCACCGGAGGAUCAUCAACCCCGCCUUCCAUCUCGAGAAACUCAAGAAAAUGAUGCCCGCUUUCGUCGCCUGCUGCAAUGAGCUGGUGACCAGGUGGGAGGAUCACGUGGGGUCCGACGAGGCCAAGGAGAUGGACGUGUGGCCGGAGUUCCAGAACCUCACCGGCGACGUGAUCUCGCGCGCGGCGUUCGGCAGCAGCUUCACCGAAGGGAGGAGGAUUUUCCAGAUGCAGUCGGAGCAGGCCCAGAACCUCAUGAUCACUGCUCCUGCUCGGUUUUAUCAUCCCUGCAGGUUCUUGCCGAUGCGGCUCAACCGACGGGUGAAGGCAAACGCGCGCGAGGUCGAGUCGCUGCUCAAAGGCAUAAUCGGCAAGAGGGAGAAGGCCAUGAAAGACGGCAAUGACCUGCUGGGCGUGCUCAUGGAGUGCAACGCCGCGGAGACGAAGCAAGCCGGGAGCUCCAGGCCCAUCAUGACCAUGGACGACAUCAUCGGCGAACUCAAGCUCUUCUACUUCGCCGGAAUGGACACCACCGCGGUGCUGCUCACCUGGACGCUGGUCGCGCUGAGCAUGCACCCCGAGUGGCAGGACCGCGCGAGGGAGGAGGUCCUGCGCGUCUUCGGGAACAAGGACCAGCCGGACCUGGACGGCAUAAACCAGCUCAAAGUGGUGUCCAUGGUGCUGCACGAGGUGCUCAGGCUGUACCCGCCGGUGAUCCAGUUCGACCGGCAGACGUACGCGGAGGUGGAGCUGGGCGGCGUCAGGUACCCGCCGGGCGUGAUCCUCUCGCUGCCCAUCGUGUUCCUCCACCAUGACCCGGACGUCUGGGGAGAGGACGCCGACGAGUUCAGGCCGGAGAGGUUCGCGGAGGGCGUCUAAAAGGCGUCCGGGAGCUCGUCGUCGCCGGCGUUCUUCCCGUUCGGGUGGGGCCCGCGGGUGUGCGUCGGCCAGAACUUCGCGCUCAUCGAGGCCAAGAUGGCGCUGAGCAGGAUACUGCAGCGCUUCGAGUUCGGGCUGUCGCCGUCCUACAGGCACGCCCCGUUCCCGGUCUCCACCCUGCAGCCUGAUCAUGGCGCGCCCAUCCUGCUCAAGAAACAGAUCUAG
rnacentral:rRNA from 1 species